GAGAUGUAGCUUAUUAUUAAAGCUAAUUAUUUACAUUAAUUUGAAAAUAUUU
rnacentral:tRNA from 1 species